UCACAGACUAAUUGAUCAGCUUAAAAGAAGAAUUUGAUUUAUUGCAAUUUGAUAUUAUUUAUCUGCACACAAGAUAAAAAAAAAUAACUGGAUAAUAAAAUUAUAAACACAAGUCACUUAAUUAAUUAAUUAAUUUUUUUUUUUAAUAUUAUUUUGACUUAAUUGAUCUUGAUAAUCAAUUUCGUUUUAUCGGAGCCGAAAAUUAACAUAAAAUUAUGUAACUGAUAAAUGAAAAUUGUAUUUUGCAGGUAAUGUAAUGCGAACUAAGUGUCUGGUGUGUUGUAACGCUCGACCGCGUUUACCAGAACGACUAGUGCAAAGUUUUGUACGAGAGUUGCGGUUGCUGGUCCCGCGAGAACUGAACUUGAAAGGUCUCCAGGAGGAGACUCGUACCCUCGUCACAAUAAUCUCGAUCUCCUUCUAUGCUAUUCUUUACAGCUCACUUUCUCACUCAUUGGCUUUUUAUUCUUUUCGUUCAGUAGAAAGAGCACAAAACGUGUAACAACAUCGUAUCCACUACCGCAGUGACUUUUAUUCUUCUUUUCUGUUUCUUUUAAAAUGAUACUUUUAUUAUUUUAUUAUUAUUCUUCUCAUCAUCUUCUUGCACCCACUGGUCUGGUGUUGACCCACUGUACUGAUGAAAUAAUCGCAUCUGCAUAUUACCUCUUCCGUCUCAUUAUUAUUAAGAGUUAUUUUUUUAAAUUCUAAUAAUCUAAAUGCAGAAACUUAUUAUUAAAACUGGAUUUAUCCUGAUGAAUUGCAAAAAUUAUAUAAUAUCAAUACUGAAAAUACAACAAUGUUUAACAAUUGACAUACAUUUUUUUAUCAACUAUUAAAUGGAAUCUUCGUCUGGUAUUUACCUAACAACAGUAUGUCCUUUGCCUGACUUCUAUUAACGACGUAACUACAUGAUAGUACAGUUCCGGCGUUGCAAUUAUGUGUUUUAAUAAUAGAGAUAUACAUAUAUUAUCAUAUAUAUAUUAGAUAUGCAAGUUGCAAAUAUUUACAAGAGCUUCAUGACAUUUGAUCUUAUGUAGAUAAAUAUAUAAAUGAAAAAAAAACUCGAAUGUUUUAAACAAUAAUAAUAAUUAAUUAGAUGAAGUAGAAAAAAAAAUAAUAAUCACAGAAACACAUCAGCUAAAUUUUAUAAUGGUAACGUCCAGUGGUUCGUCUAUGGACCUUGUGGCAGGACUGAGAUCAUGUUGCGGUUCACUUGGAAGAUGAUGAAACAUCGAAG